CCUACGGGGUGGCAGCAGUGAGGAAGAUUGGUCAAUGGAUGAGAGGAUGAACCAGCCAAGGAGAGUGAAGGAUGACUGCCCUAUGGGUUGUAAACUUCUUUUAUAUGGGAAUAAAAUGUUCCACGUGUGGGAUUUUGUAUGUACCAUAUGAAUAAGGAUCGGCUAACUCCGUGCCAGCAGCCGCGGUAAUACGGAGGAUCCGAGCGUUAUCCGGAUUUAUUGGGUUUAAAGGGAGCGUAGGUGGAUUGUUAAGUCAGUUGUGAAAGUUUGCGGCUCAACCGUAAAAUUGCAGUUGAAACUGGCAGUCUUGAGUACAGUAGAGGUGGGCGGAAUUCGUGGUGUAGCGGUGAAAUGCUUAGAUAUCACGAAGAACUCCGAUUGCGAAGGCAGCUCACUGGACUGCAACUGACACUGAGGCUCGAAAGUGUGGGUAUCAAACAGGAUUAGAUACCCUUGUAGUC
rnacentral:rRNA from 1 species